rnacentral:rRNA from 1 species
UAUGUGAUCGUCUCUCGCAUAUCAAUAAGCGGAGGAAAAGAAACUAACAAGGAUUCCCCUAGUAACGGCGAGCUGAAGCGGGAAGAGCUCAAAUUUGAAAUCUUAAAGGGUUUCCCUUUACGAAUUGUAGUUUAAAGAAGUGUUUUCUGUUGAGGUUUUGGUAAAAGUUCUUUGGAACAGGACAUCAUAGAGGGUGAGAAUCCCGUAUUUGACCUUUACUUUCAACUUUGUGAUACACUUUCAAAGAGUCGGAUUGUUUGGGAAUGCAGUCCAAAAUGGGUGGUAAAUUUCAUCUAAAGCUAAAUAUUGGCGAGAGACCGAUAGCGAACAAGUACCGUGAGGGAAAGAUGAAAAGAACUUUGAAAAGAGAGUUAAACAGUACGUGAAAUUGUCAAAAGGGAAGCGUUUGACACCAGUGUUGUUUUUCUGAAAAUCAAUUAAAGAACUGUUUAUGCUAAGUUGUUUAGACUUUAUCAGCUAACUGUUUAGUUUUGAGCUUUUCUUUAAUGCACUUUUCAGUUAACAAGUCAACAUCAAUUUCUUUUGCUGUAAAAAAGCUUGAGGAAGGUGGCUUGAGAUUCGUCUUAAGUGUUUAUAGCCUCUUGCCUAUGCAGUCGGAGAGAUUGAGGUCUGCAGCGUAGAUCCUUCGGGGCUAAAUGCAUUUGUGCUAAGUUAUAACAUUUUAUAGACAACUUGUUGACUAUGAUUUGUCUUGUAGCUUACUCGCUUAUGUUAUUUUACCUACGCUUAGGAUGUUGAGUCGUAGAGCACGCAG